AGUGAACGCUGGCGGUAGGCCUAACGCAUGCAAGUCGAACGGCAGCACAGUAAGAGCUUGCUCUUACGGGUGGCGAGUGGCGGACGGGUGAGGAAUACAUCGGAAUCUACUUUUUCGUGGGGGAUAACGUAGGGAAACUUACGCUAAUACCGCAUACGACCUACGGGUGAAAGCAGGGGAUCUUCGGACCUUGCGCGAUUGAAUGAGCCGAUGUCGGAUUAGCUAGUUGGCGGGGUAAAGGCCCACCAAGGCGACGAUCCGUAGCUGGUCUGAGAGGAUGAUCAGCCACACAGGAACUGGGACACGGUCCAGACUCCUACGGGAAGCAGCAGUGGGGAAUUUUGGACAAUGGGCGCAAGCCUGAUCCAGCCAUACCGCGUGGGUGAAGAAGGCCUUCGGGUUGUAAAGCCCUUUUGUUGGGAAAGAAAAGCAGCAGGUUAAUACCCCGCUGUUCUGACGGUACCCAAAGAAUAAGCACCGGCUAACUUCGUG
rnacentral:rRNA from 1 species